GUGGGGAAUAUUGGGCAAUGGGCGAAAGCCUGACCCAGCAACGCCGCGUGAAGGAAGAAGGUUUUCGGAUCGUAAACUUCUAUCCUUGGUGAAGAUAAUGACGGUAGCCAAGAAGGAAGCCCCGGCUAACUACGUGCCAGCAGCCGCGGUAAUACGUAGGGGGCAAGCGUUGUCCGGAAUGAUUGGGCGUAAAGGGCGCGUAGGCGGCCCGGUAAGUCGGAAGUGAAAGUCCUGCUUUUAAGGUGGGAAUUGCUUUGGAUACUGUCGGGCUUGAGUGCAGGAGAGGUAAGCGCAAUUCCCGGUGUAGCGGUGAAAUGCGUAGAGAUCGGGAGGAACACCAGUGGCGAAGGCGGCUUACUGGACUGUAACUGACGCUGAGGCGCGAAAGUGUGGGGAGCAAACAGGAUUAGAUACCCUAGUAGUCC
rnacentral:rRNA from 1 species